GACGAACGCUGGCGGCGUGCCUAACACAUGCAAGUCGAACGGGACUUAUAGAAGGAAGUUUUCGGAUGGAAUUUUAUAAGUUUAGUGGCGGACGGGUGAGUAACGCGUGAGCAACCUGCCUUUCAGAGGGGGACAACAGUUAGAAAUGACUGCUAAUACCGCAUAACGUGCGGGGGAGGCAUCUUCCCUGCACCAAAGAUUUAUCGCUGAAAGAUGGGCUCGCGUAUGAUUAGAUAGUUGGUGAGGUAACGGCUCACCAAGUCGACGAUCAUUAGCCGGACUGAGAGGUUGAACGGCCACAUUGGGACUGAGACACGGCCCAG
rnacentral:rRNA from 1 species